GGCCUCUUGAAAUCCAUCAUUUCUGAGAGUCAGAACGAAUCUGCGAUUUUCUACACUAAGCGCUCCAAAGAGACAGUUUUCUCUUAAAGGAAAGUUUUUAAAAGGCUGAUUAGAAGACACCAAAGAGCUUCUGAGAGAAGUGAUGUCGAAAACUUGGACGGCCAACUGCAUAUCACUUUGGGUCACGGCUGAAAUAUAUGUAAGGACUAUACCGGCU
rnacentral:lncRNA from 1 species